UGCACAAGUUGCUCAAGAAACUAAAAGCAGAACUACCAUAUGAUCCAGAAACCCCAGGACCAGGUAGAGCAACACUAUUCCCCUAUAGCCAAGAGGUGGCAGCCACUCUGAUAUAUGUCGACCGGCAAAUGGAUAAAAUGAUGCAUACAAACCAUGAAAUGUUAUUCAGUUUUAAUAAGAAGGAAAUCCUGACACUUGCUACAGCGUGAAUGAAACCGAUGGCAUUAUGCUAAAUUGAAAUAAGCCAUUUACAAAAGGACAAAUGCUGUGUGCUUCCAUUUAUAUGCAGUAUCUAAAGUAAUUAAAUUCAUGGAAACAUGAAGUGGAUUGGUGAUCGUCGAAGAGUGGCUGGAGGGAGAAGUGUGGGGAGUUUUUAAAUGAGUAUAGAAUUUCAGUUUUACAAGAUGAAAAAGUUCUGGGGAUCUGCAGUACAACACUGAACUAUACACUUAAAACUGGGUAAGGUGGUAAAUUUUGUGCAAUGUGCUUUUUUACCACAGUUAAAGGGUUUUUUUAAUCAAACUGUAGUCACGGGCGAUAUAAGAACAGGACAUUUUAUCCAAAGAUGGACCAUAUUUACCUAUAGUUCCAUAAGAUUAUUAUAGUAGAGCUGAAAAAUUCCAAUCACCUAGUGACACGAUGGUAGCUGGUGUGAUGUUGUAGAGCAAAGCAUUAUGUGCAUGUUUGUGGUGAUACUGGUAUAAACAAGCCUACAUCGCUCCAGUCAGAUAGAAGUGUAGCACAUGCUACUGUGUGCUAUAUAUAGCCCUUGAUGAUAAUAAAUGGCUGUUACUGUUUUACAUACUUACCUACCAUACUAUAUUUUUUAUUUUUUAUUCUUUUUAGAUAUACAUGAUAGUAGAGCAUAUUUUGACAUAUUAUACAUACAUGGGAUAUAACUUCUUUUAAUUAGGAUCCCAUUCUGUGGUUGUACAUGAUGUGUAGUUUCACUGGUUGUGUAUUCAUAUAUGAACAUGGAAAAGUUACAUCCAAUUCAUUCUACUGUCUUUCCCAUUCCUAUCCCCCCUUCCCUUCAUUCCCUUUGUCUAAUCCAAUGAACUUCUAUUCUUCUCUCCCCCCUCCUUAUUAUGUGUUAGCAUCCACAGAUUAGAGAGAACAUUCAGCCUUUGGUUUGGGGGGACUUGCUUAUGUCACCCAGCAGGAUAGCUCCAGUUCCAUCCAUUUAUCAGAAAAUAAUUUUAUUCUUCUUUUACCAUACUAUACUUUUAAUUGUUAUUCUACAAUGUAUUUCUCCUGCUUAUAAAAGAAGUUUGCUAUAAAACAUGGUUGUGUGGAGCCCACAGUAUCCUCAUACAUCUCAGGUUUCCAUGUCCCCUGACGGCAUGGAGAGACUGAUCUACACCAUCUAGGUUCAUGUAAGUACAUUCUAUGAUGUUCACACAAUGACAAAGUCACCCAGUGCCACAUUUCUCAGAGCAUGUCCCUGCUGUGAAUGGCACCUGACUAUACAUGAAUCUUUAAUAGGGAGAACUUGAUCAACACAGAGAAGUCAAGGCAGGAACAUAACAGAGUACUUCUCCAACUUUUUCCUGACGUUCCCUUUAGGAUAGAGAAAACUGAAUCCAUCUAGACUAGAGGCUAUAGCUUAGAGCAGAAAUUUCUCUGAUGCCUUGUGUUUUGCCUCUAAAUACAUGCAAUUUUUGCUUACCACUUCAUACUAGAUCAAGUGUUUUUUCAUAUAGAAAUAAAAUCUUAAUUACGAUUAAAAGGAAAGUUCGUAUUUCUUUGAGUGUGAUUCUAUCCUGGGAUCACAGGAAUUCCUGACUUUUAUACAAGUGAGUGCAAAAAAAAAUGGCAACACAGAAAAAGACUUACACUAACACAUACAUG
rnacentral:lncRNA from 1 species